UGGAAAGCGGCGACAUUUGCAGAAAGGAUACAUUCCGCUGAGGAUACUUCAGCGGUGCCUCUGAAGGUUCCAUUUCGGAACGUAAUGUAGCAAAAAAGCGAGCGGCGCGUUCCAUCAACAAUGGGGAAACUGAUCAGCCCUCCCUCGGGGAACAAUGUAACCGCUCGCUCGCCUCUUUGGCGAUGUUUGUUCUGGCCUCCGGGCUGCCACACCACCGCAAGGCGAGUCAGCCCUUCACACCGCCUGGACACAGCAAAGGAGAAACGCUGCUUCGCCACAACAGCGGGCAUCGUAUAUAAACUGAGAGUCCCACUCACCAUCUGCUCCACCUACCAGCUGGGAGAGGAGACUCUGGGCCAUCUCCUCACAUUCACAAAUCCAGUUUGGAGAGCGAAUGGAAGAUCUCUCAGGAGUACUGCUGCUGACCCACUAGACAAUAAAGAGGGGUGUUGGAUGAGAGGGAAGACUAUACUUCUAUACGAGGGUCACCACAAAACACCUCCAGUCAUUGCAACCUAUUAAGGUUUUUCAUCAAGAAUAUCCUGGAAUAUAGAAACAUAAGAAUGCCAUUCAGCCACGAAUAAGUGAGAUCCUUACUGGUCUUAAUCUUGGAUCCAUCUGCCUGUCUCAGUUCCAUCAUCCUCACUAUUCGUUUGCUUCAGCAGAGUCUAACAAUCUCAGUUGUAAAGUCUUGAAUUAACCAGGCAGUUAGAUUCUUGGCAGCCAGGUAGUGAAACAGCUGAUCAGAAUUCAAAUUUCACUCAGUUUUAGAUUUAUUCUUAAAGUGAAGUGUUUUGUGUUUUUAGCUCCUAACUCUACUACACACAUCAGUGUCAAUAACUAUUUAUAUAUUUAAAUCACUAGCUACCACACUGGAUUUGAUUUCACAUCAGCAGAUUAGGAAUCAUGCCACAGCUGUUCUAGUAUGUUAUCCUGUGGACAUACACAGGAGACCUAGCAGCACCUUUGGAAAGAGAAACAGAUUCGAUGUUUCAAGUUUCUGAUAUUUUCUGAGAUGUAAGCUUGCUGCAGCUAUAAUGUAGAGCACUAACCAAUGUACAGUCACACAGCCACAAAUCUUAAGUAUCUCUUAAUAUGUCUUUGAGUAAAUGAAAAACAUAAAUGAAUUGAUAUAGUUCUGUGAAGGUGCAUUCUAACAAAAAAAACCUUUAAAGGAACCUUAAUUAAAUUACGUUGUCAUUGAGUGAAAAAAAUGCACUUCAACUUCUGCAGUGCACCAGUUGAAGAAGGCCUCAAGUGCACUAAUGGACAGGACAUGCUCACUCUUUAGGGAAAACUGGGUAUGAACAUUACCAUGGAAGAGAGCCAAGCAAUUGGGUCUGAUGACUCCCCAAACACCCAAUGCCUGGUCCAGUUAAUGCUUACCUUGGCCUGACCCAGAAGCCCAGAUGUCCUCUGAUCUACUUGCACUCCUCCUUCUCCCUACUAUGUACCAUGUGGCAAAAAAUCAGGCAUAUGAAGCUAAAGUGAAAACAUUUUAAGAAGCAGCUCCUUUUACAAAGAGGCUACAACCUAGUUCAAAGCGUACACAUAUAAAGCAGCUUCAAGUGCGCAAAAAUACAGGUUGCCUGCGAGUCUGUGAGCCAUUGUAACUGUCUUUUGCAUUGGAUUGCUGCAUGCUUUAUACCAAAUAUCUGAUGGAAAUGAAGAUGAUUCCAUAGUGUCUUUUUUAUGUAAAAAAAAAUUCAGUAACCAAUGAAAGAAACUCACAAAUUAGUCAAUUAACAGACCCUUUGCAGGGCACUCCAACAAAAAAUAACUUUGAAGAACAUUUUGCCAACAUGGUUUAUUCCAGCCCUUGCUCUCAAGUAACCAUUGUACGGAUAUUCUCCAUUGAUGUAUCAUGCAUUGUAAUUUGUCUGUUUAACACUGGCCAGUGGACAAAUUUACAGAGAGUUCCAGCAGAUUUCCACUUGGCUUUGUGUGAUGUAGCUUUUGCUAAUGUAACCCUUUAACAGUUUAGCUUUUUGAUUUUUUUCUGUCCCAGUUCUUUUUUACAUGGGUUUCAGCACCUGCCUGUGUACUGGUUAAUAGAUGUGUUGUCAGAAAGAUUGACUUUUUUUACACCAGUAUUACUGGAAAGCAAGUUGAACUGCACUUGAACCGGAGACACUCUGAUAAUCAGGUGGAGUAGUGUAAAUCCAGCAAAGAAAGGUUUUCUUCUCUCGCGGCAGAAUAGUAGGAUUUGAUCGUUAUGUCCACAAUAAAAUGUAACUUGUUGACUUUUCAUUAAAGUGCAGAUGCAAAA